rnacentral:rRNA from 1 species
GACGAACGCUGGCGGCGUGCCUAACACAUGCAAGUCGAACGGGACCAGGGGCAACUCUGGUUCAGUGGCGGACGGGUGCGUAACACGUGAGGAACAUGACUUUCGGCGGGGGAGUAGCCGGCCCAACGGCCGGGUAAGUACCGCGUACGACCUGUUGGGGACAUCCCCGAUUGGUGAAAGCAGCAAUGCGCCGAAAGAGUGCCUCGCGGCCUAUCAGCUAGUUGGUGGGGUAAUGGCUCACCAAGGCGACGACGGGUAGCUGGUCUGAGAGGAUGGCCAGCCACAUUGGGACUGAGACACGGCCCAGACUCCUACGGGAGGCAGCAGUGGGGAAUAUUGCGCAAUGGGCGAAAGCCUGACGCAGCGACGCCGCGUGUGGGAUGACGGCC